AGUGAACGCUGGCGGUAGGCCUAACACAUGCAAGUCGAACGGCAGCACAGAGGAGCUUGCUCCUUGGGUGGCGAGUGGCGGACGGGUGAGGAAUACAUCGGAAUCUACUCUGUCGUGGGGGAUAACGUAGGGAAACUUACGCUAAUACCGCAUACGACCUACGGGUGAAAGCAGGGGACCUUCGGGCCUUGCGCGAUUGAAUGAGCCGAUGUCGGAUUAGCUAGUUGGCGGGGUAAAGGCCCACCAAGGCGACGAUCCGUAGCUGGUCUGAGAGGAUAAGCCACCACCCUGGAAGUGAGACACGGACCGGAGUCUUACAGGAGGCAGCAGUGGGGAAUAUUGGACGAUGGGCGCAAGCCUGAUCCGGCCAUACCGCGUGGGUGAAGAAGGCCUUCGGGUUGUAAAGCCCUUUUGUGGGGAAAGAAAUCCAUCUGGUUAAUACCCGGGUGGGAUGACGGUACCCAAAGAAUAAGCACCGGCUAACUUCGUGCCAGCCGCCGCCGUAA
rnacentral:rRNA from 1 species